rnacentral:rRNA from 1 species
UACGUAGGGUGCGAGCGUUAAUCGGAAUUACUGGGCGUAAAGCGUGCGCAGGCGGUAAUGCAAGACAGAUGUGAAAUCCCCGGGCUCAACCUGGGAACUGCAUUUGUGACUGCAUCGCUGGAGUGCGGCAGAGGGGGAUGGAAUUCCGCGUGUAGCAGUGAAAUGCGUAGAUAUGCGGAGGACACCGAUGGCGAAGGCAAUCCCCUGGGCCUGCACUGACGCUCAUGCACGAAAGCGUGGGGAGCAAACAGG